UAGAAGGAGUCCUGGUCAGGAAGCGCUGCGAGCGUCUGCAGCAAGGCAGGAAACAGGACACUUAAAGGUUCAUCUGAGCGUGGAUCUCCAUGGUGUUGGACCAUGACUUGCAGCCUGAUUACAAAAAUGAAGACAUUUAUGGUUCUUUGAGUAUCCAAGCAACUUUUGACCAAGGAGAUGGCUUGAAUCAGCAGCGGCGCGUUGGACUCGGAGUACUCAACAAACACCAGCAGCAGCUUCAGAGCCGUUUUCACCACCAGAC